GAAUCUUAGGUUCUCUAGCUUCAGUAGCACCCUCUUGCUGCCUCCCCUAUCAGAAACCAAGUCUGAUCAUAAUGCAAAGGGUCAGUGGAUUUCAAGAAAGCUAGUUAAGGGGGGAUCCUUUUAUGCUGACUGAGGCAGGAAGACUCCAAGCCUGUAAAUGCCACCAGGAACCAGCAACUACAACAUACUCAUUAUGCAGAUGGAGAAGCCCAGUCUCAGAUGCCCACCCUUGGAACUUACAAAGAAGCCCAGGUCCCAUGGUGGAGGUGCCAUGAAGUGACGUGGCUGACAUCUCCACCUGGGCUCUCAGAAGACAGCCACCUUCAACCGCAAGAUAAGUGGUUAACAGCCGAUUCUGGUCCCCAGCCUUUGAGUCUUCCGGCUGAGAUCCCAGAUACGGACCGAGACAAGUCAACCCCACUGUCCCCUGUCUGAAUUUCUCUCCCAUGGAACUGGGAGAAAAGAAGUGAUUGUUGUUGUUUUAAGCUGGACACCCCAACCCUCACUCAAGCUUUGACCCUCGGCCACACAGCUGGCUCUUGAUCAUCCAUCAGGCCUGGGGUGAGUACACUGGAGGCUUGACCCUCCUCUCAAGGGUGAACUUAGGAAAGAGGCCCACAUAGAUGCUGAAAGCCAUUUAGGGCCAACUGGACAGGGAAUAUGCAGAAUAUGGUCUACAAAGGGGCAUGGGCUUGGCUCUGGGACUCCUUGUCCCAUGGCGAGGAGCACAGCCAGAGAAGAGUGACGGUGGGGGAACAGGAACCCCAUUGCCUGGGUAUAAGGACAGACUCAUGAGGUUAUGGUGGAAAUAAAAUUUGAAACCAGAGGAAGACAAGAUGAUGCCAAGGAGGCAGCAUGGUAUGCGGUGAAGGAUCUGGGUUUUGGAGCAGAACUGCCUGGUUAGAAUCCUGACAUUGCCUCUUUCUGGCUGUGCAACUGUGGGCAAGUUAUUUAACUUCUCUGGUCUCCAUGUUUUGGGUUUAGGAUGGGAAAGGAAAUUACUUGCUAAUAAGACUGUUGAGAGUUAGAUAAUGUGAGUAAUGCACAGACUCCACUCUGAUGCAUAGUAGGGAUUCAAUUCGUGGAUGUGAUUAUUAUUGUAUUAAUGGCAGCAUUAUUAGGAGAUCUAAUGACAGUGAUUUGGAAAUAUCCAUCCUUGUGGUAGAUAUUGCAGACUCUGGAGGCAUCUGCCUUUUUCACUUACCAUGGGAUUGUGGAGAAAUCAUGUAAUCCUUCUGUGCCUUGGUUUCCUCUUUUGCAAAACAGAUUAUGAAAACCACCUCAUAGGUCAUUAUGCAACUUAAGUGGAACGAUGUGUGUUAAGGGUUUGGCAUAUGGUGAGCACUUUGACAAACUUAGCAGCUGUUAUCUGUUAAAUAUUUAUUACCCCAUCGAGAUAUUUGGGAUUCAUUGUUAUCAUCCUCCUCCUCACAGUGCUAUGGGGUAGGUGUGGCAAUGCACACACCUUGCUCAGAUGACUUUCUGACUCAGCAGAUCUGAGUUGGAGUCUGAGAUUCUUCAUCUCUAUCCUGCUUUCAGGUCAUGCUGAUGUGGCUGGUCCAAGUACCACACUUGGAGCAGCUUGCAUUAUUUUACCUUCAUAAUUGAUGUGGAAAUGUAAUUUCAAGAAGGUCAUACUUCUUGUGCAUGACUAAGACUAAACAACAGAACUAGGAUUCAAACAAAGGCACUUGGACUCUAGAGAUGCUGAAAAAAAAAAAAAACCUGUUUGGAAUCUGAAAAUUGUCAGUAAAUAAAACUUGAUGGUGCUUCAAGUUGCUCUGAGGUUCUAACCAUGCUUGGCCUUAUUUCAGCUGUGUGUGGCACAGUGGAGGUCCCGGACCUCAGAGAGCGCCCCCUGGAUACAUCUCUGAGUCCUGGAAACAGUAGGCCAACAUGUAAUUACAACAUGUAAUUUACAACAUGUAAUGUGUAAAGCCUACACUUUACACAUUAUCUCCCAUACCCUGUUUGCUUAUUCUCUCUUUGCCUCAGUUGCCAUCUCUGUAGAAUGGGUUCAAUAACAGUCAUUAUGUCCUAAAACUGUGUGGGGAUGACAGGAGUUCUUUCAAGCAAAGCACUUAGAACAGGGCUCCCUGUGAGGGACAAUGUGACAUAGAGUUAUGUGCGGAAAGGGCUCGAGUACUCUUGCACAAAAUGGCUAACAUCCAGGCAGGAACAGUAAUGAGGUACCCAGCAGUGCAGGGGGACACAGAUGGUUGGGGAGCUAUGGAUGGCAUUAACCCUAUCAGUUCUUCAACCUCACCCCUCUCUUCUACCAAAUGUUUUAGUGCCUCUUUUUCCACUCUAAAAUGCAAUCCAGGAGUCCCUCUUGGGGCUCAGUGGUAAUGAACCUGACUACCAUCCAUGAGGAUUCAGGUUCAAUCCCUGGUCUUGCUCAGUGGGUUAAGGAUCUGGUGUUGCCCUGGGCCGAAGUGUAGGUCACAGAUGUGGCUUGGAUCUGGUGUUGCUGUGGCUGUGGUGUAGAUCAAAGAUGUGGCUCGGACAGGUGCCAUCCUAAAAACAAAACAAAACUAAAAAAGCAAUCUACUGAUAAUAUAACCUAUCUAAAUGCAUAAUUUAAAAACAUUACUAUAAACUUAAAGUGUAGUACAGGGAAGAAAUCAAAGUAAUUUUUAAAAAUGAUGUGACUUUAUUAAGCAUAACACAUAGAAAAAUAAAAUAUGAAUAAUUUCUAACAGAACUAUUUGUAUUUUAAUCUUUAGUGAUCAGGCACAAAGAUACUACAUGACACAAAAGAGGAGUCAGUUGGAGAAAUCUGAGUAGGCUUUAGUCUAGUUAAUUGCAUUGUGCCAAUCAAUUUCCUGAUUUUACUCAUGAACUGUAGUUAGGUAAAAUGCUUCCAUUGGGGGGAAACUGAGUGACGGGUACAGGACACCUCUCUGCACUAUUUUUGCAGCUUCUUCUGAGUCUAUAAUCAUUUGAAAAUACAGUGUAGACUUUUACAAGGAGUUGGAAGCUUGCACCUAUUUGUAGAUUCACUGUAAAUUCGACAGCUCUAAGUAUAGACUGAUAUAUACCGCCAAAGGAGUGAAAUACUGUGAGUGGUGUCCCCACUUUGUGAUUUCAUUUUCUGCAACAGUAAACAAUUUAUGGCAAGUCCUGAACAAAACAAAGUCCAGUUUUACCUUGAUUUACAAGAGUUGAGUUGCUGGGAAGUUUGGCAGUGUUAAAACUUCAUGUAGUUCCCAUGGUGCUUUAGUUUGAUCUGGCUUGACUCUGCGGUGUUGCCUUUCCCUGGCCUGGCACAGAGGGUCAAAGGAUCUGGCAUUGCUGUGAUUGUAGCUUGGCUUGCAGCUGUGGCUUGGAUUCAAUCCCUGGCCCAGGAACUUACAUAUGCUGUGGGUGCGGCCAUUAAAAAACAAACAAACAAACAAACAAAAAAAACAACUUCACAAAAUAUUGCUCUGUUUGCUGGUAAAAAGUGUUAGGUCCAGACAGAUCACUCAAAUCAGUUUUUCACUUACAUACAUAUCUGGUGGAAUUUCUGAAAUGCAUGUGGGACAGGAGACGAUCUUUGUUGUGCGGUACUGUCCUGUUGUUUUUGGAUGCCAGGACUAAAUGGCAGGUGGGAAGCCCAAUCCUUGGACUAGCUAACCCCUCCUCCUCACACACUAAGAGCCAUUAUUAUCAUGAACUGAGUUCCUCACCUCUGGGUAGGGGUUACUGUCUCAAAUUUGGGACUGAAGUACCAAGCCUCCAUUGUCCCUACCACUCCAAGAAAUGGCUCACAUCCCCUCUCCCUGUAUAUCUUUCCUCAACUCUGUAUUCCUUUAACCUGGACUAUGUCAACAUCAUCCUUAUGAAUGAGCCUCCAGAAGCCAGGUGCCAGGAGCUGAAUUCCUGGAUACAGCUGCUUCCUCCUAAGAGAGGAAUCAUCCUCUCGGCUUGGUGCCAAGGGAGAGAUGAGACCUAGCUACAGUCCCAAAGACCUUCCCAUCAUGUAGCCCAGCCCCGUGCUUGAGCCUGGGACUUACACCACAUACUGUGCUUCAGAUAGCUUUCCGGAAUUUGAAAUCUGAGUAGGAGUUCCUGCCAUUCGAAUACUCAAAGAAUGAAUUACUCAGUCAGCCCUCACACUUUCUUACUAAUAAAGGGAAAAUAUGGAACUGGGGAAGAAAUGUGACUCUUGGCAAAACUGAUUUCAAAACAGAAUAAAAAAUGCUGAUGAGCUGUGCAAAUCUGAUCAAGCCACUUAACCUCUCUGAGUCAUUACAUCCUCAUCUUAUGUAAGGAUCAUGUGAAAUAGUUUAUGUGAGAGAGCUCUGUAAACUAUGAAAAGUUAUAACCAUAUGAUAUAUUGCUAUCAGUAAGCGUUAAUUUGAGCCAGUCCAAUGAUCGAUUUAAAUAUGCCAAUGAAUGAAAAAGCAGUGGGUGUGAAUCCUGAAUUACAGGAACAUAGAUUACACAUACUCUUCAAAUCCAUCAUCUAGAGCAGGGGUUGACAAAUUAUAGCCCAUGGGAAAAUCCGGCCCACAGGCUGCUUUUGUAAUUAAAGUUUUAUUGGAACAGAGCCACUGUAAUUUGGUUAUAUGCUGUCUUGGCUUGUUUUGGCACUACAACAGUAGAGUUGAGGAGCUGUGACAGAGAGCAGAUGGUCUGCAAAGCCUAAAAUAUUUAUUAUCUGGUCCUCUACUGAAUACGUUUGCUGACCCUGGGUCUAUACAGUCGACCAAAAGAUCUGUCUAAAGGGCACAACCAUGUCCCUACCCACCUUUUCCAUGAUUCCCGAUGGACAGAGUACACACUUUAACUUGGAAGACAAGACCCUCUGUAACCUGGUUUCAGCCCACCAGCCAGCCUCACUCCACCAGCCAGCCUUAGCUCCAAACGGGAUGCCUUACAAAAUAAGUUUCUUUGUUGCAUUGCCCUCACUCUGUGCUGGUUCUCACUCCAUGCCUUUGCCAAGGACACAGGUUGGCUUGGGAUGGUUCUGGCAGGCUGAGGUCUGGAUGCCUUUCUUAGUCCCAUCCCUGGAGGCUUCAGCCCCUCUGUCCUUGAAACAUGUUUUCGGCUUGUUCCUCCCCACCUGGGAAGGCCCUGAAGGCCUGAGCACCCCUCAGGAACUUGGCUCUGCAGUGUGUAAAGCCCCAGCUCCAUGCCUGUCACCCAGGAAGUAGCAUUGCAGAGCCAUUCUUAUGAUAUAUCACCACCUUGGGUACUGCUAAGGCCCAGGACGCUCCUACUUUCAUGGAGCCAUGAGAGUUCAGGGGGAGAGGACUCUGUCCUCACUGUCCACCUGCUGGUCCAUCCUGUCUCCCGUCUCUGGAAGAUAGCAGGGACUUUUCUAAGGCCGUCAACACUAUAAUUUCAAGUGCUCUGUAAUGACUCUAUAGGCACACAGACACUUAAUAGAAUUUUUUGUGAAAAAGUUUGAGUCCACAGUCAUUCUAGACCUCCUCCUGACUAUAGUGUAAUUGCUGCCAAUAGACAAAGAGGGAAUUACUGUAUAACCUGCCUUCCGGUUUCAAAGCAAACAAUCAACAUGUGAUGUGCUCGUAGGGGGAUCUGAAGAGUGUUACAGCUGUGCCCGAGUCUCUGCCCUGCUGGAGAAGACCAACGAUAAUGAUUCAAUAUUGUCAAUUGUUUAAGAUAAUGAUUCAGUCAGUUAUAAGACCACUGUCUCUGGCUGGGAAGGGACAAGGAGGUCCUAUGGAGAGCAGAAAAAUGGCCCCCAAAGAUGUCCAUGUCCUGAUUGCAUGAACCUGGGACUGUGUUGCAUUACAUGGCAAAAGGGAAGGAAGGUGGUAGAUGGAAUGGAGUUGCUAACCGAUCUUAAAAUAGGAGGAUUGUCCUGGAGUAUCAGGAAGGCCCAAUAUAAUCACAAGGAUCCUUAAAUGUGGACGAGGGAGGCAGAACAGGAGGUCAGAGCGAUGUGAUGGGAGAAGGACUCGAUCCACCACUGCUGGCUUCACAGGAGGAGGAAGGGGACUGCACAUCAAGGAAUGGUCCUUGGGGUUCCUGCCGUGGCGCAGUGGGUUAAGAAUCUGACUGCAGCGGUUCAAGAAUCUGACCGUAGUGGUUCCAAUCACUGUGG
rnacentral:lncRNA from 1 species